rnacentral:lncRNA from 1 species
UGUAAUCGUACUAUAUAUCUAUGUCUUGCUUAUUUAUCUAUGUAAUGGUACUAUAUAUGUCGUGUUCAUAUAUGUUCUAUAUAUCUAUGUCGUGCUUAUUUAUCUAUGUUCUAUCUAGUUCAUAUAUGUUCUAUCUAGUUCUAUCUAGUGCAUGCAAGUGAAUGCUCGCGUUCCCGUCAAAAAAAAUACUACUUCUGUAUUUGGGUACCCUCUGUAUUUAGUGUUAGCGUGUUUUGCAAGCGGUGGCCGUUUCGGUUUCCGAGGCAGGGCUGGUGUAAAUGAUAAAAAGACCACACGCCCACCCACCGUCUCUUCGCACCACUCCCCCAUCUCCUCCUACACAGAAACCGCCGCCCUCCGUCUCUUCGCUCUCCCCCAUC